rnacentral:lncRNA from 1 species
AUGAAAAUGGAGAUGGUAGAGUCACUGCCAAAUUCGAGGAUCUUUCACCGGUAACAUGCUCAGAAGGGGACGGGGACGAUGACGAUGACGAUGAUGAUGAUGGCGACUAUGAUUUUGCUCCGGCUGCAUAAGUAUAGAUAGACUAGUACUACUUGUUAUUAACUUAAUUAGCAUAGCUAGAGUUAGCUCAAGUUUUGUAAUGAAGACUAUUAUAUUCUAUGGUCAGUGGUCACAUAUAUAAUAAUAUAGUAAACCUAAUUAUAAAUAAUUAGUAUUCACAGGGCUCUUUUCCUUCUGAUGUCAUCUUCAUCUACAUGUUCGUCCUGCGACAGGUGACCUAAUGUGUGUAUGUCAGGGUGGCCUUGCAAAAUACGUACUAUGUACGCAGCCAGAAAAAGGAAAAACCUAAUAACAUUAUUUAUUUCUAAUAUCAUUUAUUAAUCGUCUUUGAAAUUUGAAAGCAAAUUUGGUUGAUAAA